rnacentral:rRNA from 1 species
CGCUGUCACUCCUACGGGAGGCAGCAGUGGGGAAUAUUGCACAAUGGGCGCAAGCCUGAUGCAGCCAUGCCGCGUGUGUGAAGAAGGCCUUCGGGUUGUAAAGCACUUUCAGUCGUGAGGAAGGUAGUGUAGUUAAUAGCUGCAUUAUUUGACGUUAGCUGCAGAAGAAGCACCGGCUAACUCCGUGCCAGCAGCCGCGGUAAUACGGAGGGUGCGAGCGUUAAUCGGAAUUACUGGGCGUAAAGCGCAUGCAGGUGGUUCGUUAAGUCAGAUGUGAAAGCCCGGGGCUCAACCUCGGAAUUGCAUUUAGAAACUGGCGGACUAGAGUACUGUAGAGGGGGUAGAAUUUCAGGUGUAGCGGUGAAAAUGCGUAGAGAUCUGAAGGAAUACCGGUGGCGAAGGCGGCCCCCUGGACAGAUACUGACACUCAGAUGCGAAAGCGUGGGGAGCAAACAGGAUUAGAUACCCUGGUAG